rnacentral:lncRNA from 1 species
CCCGCCCCGCCCCGCCCCGGCCGCCCUGCGGGGCCUUAGGGCUUUAGCCGGGUGCACUACGACUGCUCGGGGUUCGAAGUUUGGCUCAACUCGGCUGCUGACUCGAAGGCUAUUCUGCUUCCUCCACACAGUCAGUCUUGGGUGGGAUUGGAGGGCAGGUGAUCGCCGCUAACCCCACUUGAGAGGUGAGCGGAUCAAGAUCAGGCAAGGAUCUCCCUGAGUCUCUAAGCUGCCAGGCUGGGCUUGAACUUGCCAUCUUCCUGCCUCAGCCUCCCAGAGUGCUGGGAUUACAAGCAUGCACUACCACACUUGGCUUCACGAUAUGUUGUUAACCAAGUAAAAGCAAAGGCUAGAAGAGCAGGUGGAGGUAUUGUGUCCAGCAAUCCUUUCCAGGCUUUCACUGUCCUAUUCAAAGAAUUGGAUGGAACAACUGAUGAACAUGAAAGUUUGAUGUUUAUGGCAAAAGAAGAAGAAAAAGAAGCCUAAAAGAAGGGCAGAGGAAGAAAAAAUGCUCUGCAGGAAAAGAGAAGAUACACCCUGUGAACAGGCUGGGCAAGGAAAAGGCAGCAUUCUCUGACUG